rnacentral:rRNA from 1 species
AUGAACGCUGGCGACGUGGAUAAGGCAUGCAAGUCGAGUGGGUUUAGACCCACGGCGAACGAGGUAGUAACACGUAGGAACGCACCUUCAAGUCAGGAAUAAUCCGGUGAAAGCCGGACUAAUACUUGAUAGUCCCGAAAGGGUAAAGAUUUAUCGCUUGAAGAGCGGCCUGCGGAGUAUCAGCUAGUUGGUAGUGUAAAGGACUACCAAGGCUAUGACGCUUAGGGGAGGUGAGAGCCUGACCCCCACCGAUGGUACUGAGACACGGACCAUACACCUACGGGUGGCUGCAGUCGAGAAUCUUCCACAAUGGGCGAAAGCCUGAUGGAGCGACGUCGCGUGAUUGAUGAAGUCCUUAGGGACGUAAAGAUCUUUUAUAGAGGAGAAAACUGCGUUUACGCAGUGUGAUAGUACUCUAUGAAUAAGGGGUUGCUAAACUCGU